rnacentral:rRNA from 1 species
GACGAACGCUGGCGGCGUGCUUAACACAUGCAAGUCGAACGGUAAGGCCCUGCUUUUGUGGGGUGCUCGAGUGGCGAACGGGUGAGUAACACGUGAGUAACCUGCCCUUGACUUUGGGAUAACUUCAGGAAACUGGGGCUAAUACCGGAUAGGAUCUCCUGCUGCAUGGUGGUGGUUGGAAAGUUUCGGCGGUUGGGGAUGGACUCGCGGGUUAUCAGCUUGUUGGUGGGGUAGUGGCUUACCAAGGCUUUGACGGGUAGCCGGCCUGAGAGGGUGACCGGCCACAUUGGGACUGAGAUACGGCCCAGACUCCUACGGGAGGCAGCAGUGGGGAAUAUUGCACAAUGGGCGGAAGCCUGAUGCAGCAACGCCGCGUGCGGGAUGACGGCCUUCGGGUUGUAAACCGCUUUCGCCUGUGACGAAGCGUGAGUGACGGUAAUGGGUAAAGAAGCACCGGCUAACUACGUG